rnacentral:antisense_RNA from 1 species
CACAUGUAAUAUAGAGUUUUUGGAUGAUUAUUGUUUAAUUAAAAAGGAACAAAAUGUUAAAAGUUAGAAUUAUAGCUUAAUCAAGAAUUAGAACAAGUAAAUUUGAUUAGCAACAUUUAUUUAAAUUAAAUUGGGAAUCAAAAUUAGAGCUGAGAAUAAAACAAAAUGAACAAAUCGAGUGAGAAUUAAAUACAAGCAAGGAAAAAGCGUAGAUAAGGUCAGAAUGCACGUCAAUCAUAAGCAAUAGCGCAAUAAGAUGAAAAAAAAGGAAGAAUGUACUGAAAAGAAGAAAGCUACGUGUUAAAUAAGGGUUACUAUCACUAUAGAUGCAACAUCAUUAUUAUAUGAUACCUCUACAAAAUUUACUCUUCCUGAGCAGCCAACUGAGCAACAAGUUCGAUCUUCUUCUGGACUCUUUCCUUUCUCUGUUGGUUAGUUAGCUUAACAUGUCUAACGUAUUGGGACUUCUCGGUCUUAAUAGUGUUUCCAACACGAGUCUUGGUUACCUUUCUUGCUGGCUUCUUCUGACGAGAUGGGUCAGCAUGAAUUGCCUUGACGGCGUUCUUGUACAUAUCAGCGAGUUUGUCAGCAGUGAUACCAGCCUUAAUGUACUGAGAGAAGUGAGCCUUGUAUUUCUCUGGAUCAUCUUCCUGCAUCUCAGACAUGUAGUUGGAAAUGUGCUUUCCAAGAAUACGAUCCUUGAGUACUUCAGCAUCGAACGAGUCUUCAGCACCAUUCUCACCUUUGGUGAAUCCUGGGAAUCUGUUUGGGGAAUGUGGUAUAUAGAUUCCACCAUCAGUAGCACCCUUCAUGGCAGCAAAGACACGGUUUCCACUUGUUGUUCUAGUGAGACCAACAUCUAAAAUGCACUUGAAUGGUCUUCUAUCUUCAGCCUCUUCCUCUACAUGGUAGUCAUCUCCAGUAAUCUCACCAACUCCAGUGAAGAUUUUAUCCAUAUUGAGUUGUUUCAAUACACGUCUGGCACAUAAAAGACCAGUGCAAUAUGCUGCUGAAAAGUUUGCUAAACCAACUGGGACGCCAUAUCUUGGUAAUUCUGUAGAGUCUGCUGAGCAAAUCACUCUGUCUCCCUCAAUUGUGGCAUAGAUAAUUUGGCAUAUUACUUUUGUAUUGGUCAAUCUUACAACAAAACGGUACUUUGGUGAGUUGUACUUUGUCUUGUCCUGAGAAAUCAUAGCACGACGAGCUUGAUAAUCAGUCUUACCUUCACGUCGUCUACGUGGUUUAACCUGGUAACGGCUGAAGUAUGCCUUAUUCUUCAAAACCUUAACAAAAGCCAUAUUUUUAAUAUAAGAUACUAAUAAAAAUGCCUAAUGCUUUUUGCCUUAAAAACCAAAAUAAAGAUCUUUUUGUUUUUUCAGCUUUUGCUUUUUUUAAUUAUUUGUGGAAAACUUAUUAUUAAUAGUUACUUAUAAUUGUCAAAUUUAAUCUUUAAUUACUAUUUAUUGAUUAUUAUUGUUUAAGUAAUUAAUCAGUUUGCCGCCAAAAAAU